rnacentral:rRNA from 1 species
UACGUAGGGUCCGAGCGUUUGUCCGGAAUUAUUGGGCGUAAAGGGCUCGUAGGCGGUCCGUCACGUCGGGAGUGAAAACUCAGGGCUCAACCCUGAGCGUGCUUCCGAUACGGGCGGACUAGAGGUAUGCAGGGGAGAACGGAAGUUCCUGGUGUAGCGGUGGAAUGCGCAGAGUAUCAGGAGGAACACCGGUGGCGAAGGCGGUUCUCUGGGCAUUACCUGACGCUGAGGAGCGAAAGCAUGGGGAGCGAACAGG